CUUCUCAAAACCUCCAACCAUGAAGAAGCUGGUCACUCUGAUGCUCGUCUACAUGCUUUUCUCUGAAGCUUUACAGGCUUCUGCAGCUCUGAAGUGUUGCACAGGCGUUGGGAAAGCAUGUGUGUCUAUGGAGUGUUCUAUACAUAAAGAUCGCUGCCUGUCCAAAUACAAGGGAAUGAGCAGCACAAUUUCUAAAAAAACAUGUACAACCAGUUUUGAGUGUGUUAGCAAAGGACAUGAGUGCUGCAACACUGAUCUGUGUAACAGUGCUGAGGGGGUUAAGCUGAGUCUCCUCAUCAUGCUGGUCCCUCUGAUCUCCUCCAUCCUCUUCAUCUGAACCGUCUGCUGCUCCUCUCUCAGUGAUUUAUCUCUUACUGGAGUAACAGAAAUAUUGUAAAUUUACUGUCUGGAAACAAUUACGUAAAUUUCCUACAUUUAAUUUCUCAGCUGUGCUCUCAGAUAAUAUGUGAUAAAUGUUAUAGAUUAGAAUAGAUUGUACUGUAACUUCUGUAAUGUCUGUGUAUCAAUAAACAGCAUGAAGAGCCUUAGAGCUGAAUAAAUAAAAUAACUUUCAUCUGAAAGUGUCAUUUUAUUAGCAAACUGACUGAAAUGAGUUUUUCUUGCACUUGUCACCAUCAUUAAUUCAUUGA